AAUAAUCAGAUCACAUAACCAAAAAAAACCCUAACUUUUCUCUUUAUCUCGCCUCUCUCUCUCUCUCUCUCUCUCUGCCGCAGAACUCCCAGCCACCUCCGGUGACCUCGCCCACCUAUCCUUCUUCUCUCUUUCUUCCUCUCUGGCGGCCUAGACAUAUGGAGCGCCUCCCCUCUCUCUGCCCAGAUGCGCGACCUGCGCGUCGCCUCUCUCUCUGCCCAGAUGUGCGGCCAAAUCCCAGUAUUGGUGGUCGAAUCUGACCACAAAAUCAAGCUCGACGCACGUAAAAAUGAAGACGCCGAAGAAGGAAAAGGCACCUCCACUGUCAUCGAAGCCCGCUAAGUCAGGGGGAGGCAAGUAGAAAAAGAAGUUUGCAGGUGUAAGCAAAACUUCCUGGUGUAUGGUAUUGGUCUUGCUAUUUAAUUAAUGAAUGCAGCAAGAUGUCACCAUUAUUUGUAAGUAAUUUUGUUUACAUUACAAUUUUAGUAGUUUAUAGGUCAAUCGUUUCGUUAGUUUUGUUAUCUGUCUAAAAUGCAAAUCUGCAGGCCAUGCUUUGAUUUUUUUAAAUGAUUAUUCCUUAGUGAGACUAAUAAUUUGAAUUAUAAUGAUAUCAUCAUAAAUAUGAAUAGUUCAUGGGAUCUUUGAAUUACUCUGUAGGAUGGUUUUGUCUUGAGACUUGAAUGUCAAUCAUGAUUAAUUGUAAAAAUUAAAAAAGAAAAAAUUUUGAGAGAAGGCAUUGGUGUAUAUAGUUAUGUUAUUCAUUUCAUAUAUCUGUAAUUUUUUUUUUGUAAUAUUAGAUUUGAGGGUGUUGGAUCUAUCUCUCUAGGAUCUCUCUCAUACUCUUUCAGCUCUCUUUCUUCAAAUGCAUGUUGCUAACUUUUACAAUUAGAAAGUAACAUACCUUAUUUUUGCUCUGCUUUAGAGCUCUGUUUUUUCGUAAAAUUUAUUUGCUUGUUUUUUUUCAUAGAUUUGGGAAGGAUUAUAUGUGAGGAUUCUAAGGCACAAAAGUUAGAUUUCCAAAAAAGAAUUGAAGCUAUAAGAUUGUAAUUGAAAUGACAAUUAUUCUUAGUAGACACUUUGAUUUUGCUCAUUAAUCUCAUUACAAUUAUUACUUGUUUUUGCUUAUUUUGACAACAGAAAAUAAUGAUAUGUGUUGCAAAUAGAUACAAGGGAUGCUGGCUCGAUCUUAUGCGAGUUAGAUGCUGGUGAUGGAUAAAGUUGAUCUAUAAGAUUGUCCAAGAGCAAGACUACAAAAAGAAUGCAUCAGAUAUCUUUGUCAUAUUUUUACUUUUAUAUUUUUUUUUUUGGGUUUGUAGUCAUAUUUUUUUUUUACUGUUAUUGUAUUUUAUUUAUGUAUUUUAUUUACAUUAUACUUGUAUUUUUUU